rnacentral:lncRNA from 1 species
GUUGCAGCAAGAUGUGACCAUGUGACUUUUCCGGCUACAGGAUCUGAACACAAUGUGUGUAACUAAGAUUAUUCUCUUAAAGGGAAAGGAUAUGCUCUCCCUUAUACAUUUUUCCUUUUUCAGUGGACUGCAGCUAUGGGAAAAACCAUCCUGAACCACACAGACAGGUUACAUCUCGUUAAGGACCACAAGUCUCUGCUGCUGGAGAUGACCCACCUCGAGAAUCAGAUUGGGUGACCUGUAUAUCUUUAGGCCAAGGUUAGUAAAGGACUAGAGAAUCCCAG